ACCAUCCUUUUCUUGGGGUUGCGCUACUGUCCAAUGAACGCCUAGUGAGGACAGUACUGCUAACGCCUACACAACACGCCCGCACCGGCGGAGCUCGCUCCUGCUGGGUGCAAUUUUUGGAAAA